GGUAAUACAUGAAGCAAGGUACCUGAUUGACGUUGCUGAUACUUUAUAUGACAAGAUCAUGCAGUGUUGGAAGUCAGGACUUGAAUUUCAUAGGGGAGUACACCAUUUAGCAAAAAAGGAGGGUUUGAAGGGAGCCAAGAUAAGUAAAGCACUGGAAAAUUUUGCAUGGAAUAUCACCGUAUUGAAGGGCCAAGGGGACUUACUGAAAAAUGCUAAGAAUGAGGCACUGGAAAACAUGAAGCAAAUCCAAACUGCAUGUAUCUCAUGUGGACUGAGCAAGUCAACAAGUGAAAGGGCACGGUUGAAAUCCAAAUAAAGUCUUCAGGAAAUACAGGAAAACGAAAAUGGAAAAUUGAAUGAAAGCUCUGAUAAUUCCAAGACCAGCCCCAGUAGCUUGAUGAUGGAGUCAAAAUUACUGCUUGCAGUUAGCCACCAAUUUAUUUCCAUGGAUGAUACUGAAGAUACUAACAAAGCCUUUAGAAAGAACAAGACUUAAUAUUUAAAACGACAAAUUUUAUGGCAUAUACCACAAUAAAAUAAUUCAAGGAAAAAUAUAUUAAAGUGAUAUUUCUGACAUUCUUGUAACCACCUUUGAACUUGAAUUUAUAGCUCAUUUAAAAGAAAGGAUGAGAACAGGAACUGACAAAAUCACAAUUGGCAUGCUCUUUUCUUCACACUUUUCAUUGUUAGUUAUGCGUGUACUAGUUUUUUAAAUACAUUUUAAUAUGAACAAAAGUAUUCCACUGUACAUUUUGGUUAUGCAUAGCAGUAUUUUUCUGUUGUGAGGCUAUUGUAUGUAAAUACUGCUUUUAUUUUAAAACGUCUGUUCAUACAUGUAUUGAGGACUUUUUUUGAAAUUAUAUUCUGAAAUGUCCUACUCACUCACUCUGUACACAGUUGAGGAACAUAGUCAAGCCUGGAUCCUGUAAUCAGAAAACAUCAAAUAUAAAAGAAAAGUUUACCAAAGUAGAGCAAAAAGCAUUGUUUAUAGAUUAAUUCCUGAGGAACAUAGAUUACCACUUUGUGACAAACACAAAUUGUAACAAGGUUAAAAUUUUCAGUCGUUUUGCUGAAAUUUAAGAGAAAACCAAUAUUCUACAUUGCUGUGCGUCCUCUCAGUUUUCAGGCACUAAGUUACGCUGCAAAAUUUGCAUAUCCAUCAAUGUCUUACCAAUUUUUCCAGUGACUACCUGAAUGAGACAGGAACCAAAAUGAUCCUUGAUUGGUCCUUGAUUGGUACUGGAUUACUCAAUGUCAUCCAAUGUCUUGGAGUAAUAAAAUUGGCCAGUGUUUCCACUAUCCAGUUACUCUUUCUAGAAAUAGGUGAGGUCUGUCUGUGGGAAUUGGCUGAGGCAGAAAGAAAUUUCCAUAAAUGUCUUUAAGGAUAGAGAGGAAAGAAGGAAAUUCAACAUGGAAAAUAAAUUGCACCAGCUGUUUUUGCAAAUGUCUGAUACAAAAUGGAUAUUUGCAAAAGUCAACCUUGCACUUGCAUGUGAAGUUUCAAAAUAAUCUUUUUCCUUGGAGGAGUGAGUGUUUGGUCAAUCAAAACAGGAUAAAGUUAGGGAAUGACUGAACUGAAAACUAUAGGUUCCAAGUGAGAUGAAUACAUGUCAAGAAGACUUUCCCACAGCUGCCAUGCUAAUUGAGCUCAAGGCUUGGUAAUCAGAGCUUGAACAUUUAUAGUUGCGCUUCUUUGGAACAGUGUGUUCCAAUUUUGGUUAUGUUGCCUGGUAGAAUUGGGGAAAAUGGCUUCCCUGUACUAUCCAACAGCAACAAUAACGUUGACAUUGUUGUUAUUGUCAUUUGUGACGGUCUUUGUGGGGCUAAUCUUCAUAUCUUCCUUAAAUAAGUAGCAAUGCUGGAGUCAAGCUGAACAUACAAGGCAGACAAUUUGUGGACUGGGAGUAAAUGGGACAACCAAGUGAUGUCAUACUGGAAAAAGUGUUCCGGCCCAUCCAGCCUGUCUCACACAAUGCGAUGCCUUGUGCUUCAUGUAUAGAUUCUGUCCAAUACGUGAUCACCCAAAAGAAAUAAAUUAAAAUCAGAUAAGACCAGGCAAACUUGAAGGAAAAGGUCAAGGAAGUUUAUUUCUAACAAAUGUACAUUCAUCCACCCUAGUCCCACCUCCUUAGCUGCUUUGGCAUUUAAACUAGUUCAGGGUAUUUCUCUGCUCCUGAUAAUAUCGUGCUGUGCCUACCUUCUAUAUGGGAUGACUUCUACCCCAGCCAGAAACAGCCCUUUGUUGAAGGAGUUCCAUGAAGCAAUGACAGACUGCUCCAGGUGGCCACUGUUUGCGUUGGGUAAAAGAAUCUAGUUUUUUUCUCUUUAAAGCUGUUUUCUGGAUUUCAUUGUAAGAGGUGAAGAAAACUCAGGCAGUUAGUAGACAGUUAACAAGGAAACUUUUGAAACAUUCUUAUUUGCUCAUUUCCAAGGUAUAUUUCACUUUUUUUGCAAAAUAGUCGUCUUUGGAUUUCUCUGCUUCAGAGGACAGGGUUUGUCCUGUGCAGUAUUUUGGUAUGGUCAAUAAUGAGAUCAAUAGAUUUUUGAAGAUUGAAGAAAUCGAGUGAUUAGGGAGGGAGAGUGUGUAAGUGACAUUGAGGUUGAGCAUUAGGCAAGAUCUUACUGAAAGAUGGAGCAGACUUGAAACAUCGUAACACUUACUCCUCCUAGUUCUUAUGAUCCUAAAUCUAGCCCACAUUCAAAUAAACAUCUUUGAUCGGGGAUGAUAAUCUUCAUUAAGUUUAUUAAGGAACUGUCUUUGAGUAAACUACAUUCAAGAAUUACUGUCCAGUCACUACUACAAAUACUUUGGACUUUUGCACCUAUUUGAUAAUAUAACAUUUCUUUUGUUUCUUCAAUAUGUUACACCUAGUGUUUUUCAGCAAUAUCCAUGUAAAUGUUCAUUAGUCUUGUUAUAGUGUAGGGCUUACAUAUUGCAGUCCAGGUUGAUCCUUUGUAUACUGACUAUACUCCAAAAUUAUGUAUAUGUUCUAUCAAUAUCCAUUUUGUAAAUUUAAUUAUUGUUAUUGACAAAGUUAAAUAUGCAGUUAUAAAAUA